UUGGUGCCUUCGGGAACUGUGAGACAGGUGCUGCAUGGCUGUCGUCAGCUCGUGUUGUGAAAUGUUGGGUUAAGUCCCGCAACGAGCGCAACCCUUAUCCUUUGUUGCCAGCGGUUCGGCCGGGAACUCAAAGGAGACUGCCAGUGAUAAACUGGAGGAAGGUGGGGAUGACGUCAAGUCAUCAUGGCCCUUACGACCAGGGCUACACACGUGCUACAAUGGCAUAUACAAAGAGAAGCGACCUCGCGAGAGCAAGCGGACCUCAUAAAGUAUGUCGUAGUCCGGAUUGGAGUCUGCAACUCGACUCCAUGAAGUCGGAAUCGCUAGUAAUCGUAGAUCAGAAUGCUACGGUGAAUACGUUCCCGGGCCUUGUACACACCGCCCGUCACACCAUGGGAGUGGGUUGCAAAAGAAGUAGGUAGCUUAACCUUCGGGAGGGCGCUUACCACUUUGUGAUUCAUGACUGGGGUGAAGUCGUAACAAGGUAACCGUAGGGGAACCUGCGGUUGGAUCACCUCCUUA
rnacentral:rRNA from 3 species